rnacentral:rRNA from 1 species
UACGUAGGGGGCUAGCGUUGUCCGGAAUCAUUGGGCGUAAAGCGCGUGUAGGCGGUCCGGUAAGUCCGCUGUGAAAGUCGGGGGCUCAACCCUCGGAUGCCGGUGGAUACUGUCGGGCUUGAGUACGGAAGAGGAGUGUGGAAUUCCUGGUGUAGCGGUGAAAUGCGCAGAUAUCAGGAGGAACACCAAUGGCGAAGGCAGCACUCUGGGACGUGACUGACGGCUGAGACGCGAAAGCGUGGGGAGCAAACAGG